rnacentral:rRNA from 1 species
GCUUAACACAUGCAAGUCGAGGGGCAGCAUGGUCUUAGCUUGCUAAGGCCGAUGGCGACCGGCGCACGGGUGAGUAACACGUAUCCAACCUGCCGUCUACUCUUGGACAGCCUUCUGAAAGGAAGAUUGAUACAAGAUGGCAUCAUGAGUCCGCAUGUUCACAUGAUUAAAGGUAUUCCGGUAGACGAUGGGGAUGCGUUCCAUUAGAUAGUAGGCGGGGUAACGGCCCACCUAGUCUUCGAUGGAUAGGGGUUCUGAGAGGAAGGUCCCCCACAUUGGAACUGAGACACGGUCCAAACUCCUACGGGAGGCAGCAGUGAGGAAUAUUGGUCAAUGGGCGAGAGCCUGAACCAGCCAAGUAGCGUGAAGGAUGACUGCCCUAUGGGUUGUAAACUUCUUUUAUAAAGGAAUAAAGUCGGGUAUGGAUACCCGUUUGCAUGUACUUUAUGAAUAAGGAUCGGCUAACUCCGUGCCAGCAGCCGCGGUAAUACGGAGGAUCCGAGCGUUAUCCGGAUUUAUUGGGUUUAAAGGGAGCGUAGAUGGAUGUUUAAGUCAGUUGUGAAAGUUUGCGGCUCAACCGUAAAAUUGCAGUUGAUACUGGAUAUCUUGAGUGCAGUUGAGGCAGGCGGAAUUCGUGGUGUAGCGGUGAAAUGCUUAGAUAUCACGAAGAACUCCGAUUGCGAAGGCAGCCUGCUAAGCUGCAACUGACAUUGAGGCUCGAAAGUGUGGGUAUCAAACAGGAUUAGAUACCCUGGUAGUCCACACGGUAAACGAUGAAUACUCGCUGUUUGCGAUAUACUGCAAGCGGCCAAGCGAAAGCGUUAAGUAUUCCACCUGGGGAGUACGCCGGCAACGGUGAAACUCAAAGGAAUUGACGGGGGCCCGCACAAGCGGAGGAACAUGUGGUUUAAUUCGAUGAUACGCGAGGAACCUUACCCGGGCUUAAAUUGCAGAUGAAUUACGGUGAAAGCCGUAAGCCGCAAGGCAUCUGUGAAGGUGCUGCAUGGUUGUCGUCAGCUCGUGCCGUGAGGUGUCGGCUUAAGUGCCAUAACGAGCGCAACCCUUGUUGUCAGUUACUAACAGGUUCCGCUGAGGACUCUGACAAGACUGCCAUCGUAAGAUGUGAGGAAGGUGGGGAUGACGUCAAAUCAGCACGGCCCUUACGUCCGGGGCUACACACGUGUUACAAUGGGGGGUACAGAGGGCCGCUACCACGCGAGUGGAUGCCAAUCCCCAAAACCUCUCUCAGUUCGGACUGGAGUCUGCAACCCGACUCCACGAAGCUGGAUCCGCUAGUAAUCGCGCAUCAGCCACGGCGCGGUGAAUACGUUCCCGGGCCUUGUACACACCGCCCGUCAAGCCAUGGGAGCCGGGGGUACCUGAAGUGCGUAACCGCGAGGAGCGCCCUAGGGUAAAACUGGUGACUGGGGCUAAGU